AGUGAACGCUGGCGGUAGGCCUAACACAUGCAAGUCGAACGGCAGCACAGUAAGAGCUUGCUCUUACGGGUGGCGAGUGGCGGACGGGUGAGGAAUACAUCGGAAUCUACUUUUUCGUGGGGGAUAACGUAGGGAAACUUACGCUAAUACCGCAUACGACCUACGGGUGAAAGCAGGGGAUCUUCGGACCUUGCGCGAUUGAAUGAGCCGAUGUCGGAUUAGCUAGUUGGCGGGGUAAAGGCCCACCAAGGCGACGAUCCGUAGCUGGUCUGAGAGGAUGAUCAGCCACACUGGAACUGAGACACGGUCCAGACCCCUACGGGAGGCCGCAGUGGGGAAUAUUGGACAACGGGCGCAAGCCUGAUCCAGCCAUACCGCGUGGAUGAAGAAGGCCUUCGGGUUGUAAAGCCCUUUUGUUGGGAAAGAAAAGCAGCAGGUUAAUACCCCGCUGUUCUGACGGUACCCAAAGAAUAAGCACCGGCUAACUUCGUG
rnacentral:rRNA from 1 species